rnacentral:antisense_RNA from 1 species
UUGCAGGAAUUUAGCCAAUUCAGAGAUCUUGUUCUCCAUAAUUUGGAAUUUUCCUUCGGAUUUGAUCAAGUUGGAUAGAGUUGGUCAAACCCAAUGGGAAAAAGAUGAAAACAACAAGAAACAGAAACAAACAACAACAGCAACAACAACAAAAACAGACCCCACACCUCCAGACCCUGCUGAGGGAGGGCCACCCAUUUCUAGUCCCAGCUCCUACUCUAACUAUCCGUGUGACCUUAAACAAGGCCUUUCCCCUCUCUGGCCUCAGUAUCCGCCUCUGAAUAAUGGGGCUGGGCCUGCCGACCUUCUGGCCCUUUUCUGCUCUGUGAGUUUGUGAACUUGUGAUAGGGAGACAAGAGUCCUAGGAAGGAAAUAGAACUUGUGAUAGGGAGACAAGAGUCCUAGGAAAUGGAAGGAGAGCACGUUUCACUCUGUCCAGCAGAGGGCAGCAGCUACCCACAAAUCAACAGCCGAGCAAAGCCAGGGCUGUGUGGGAGCUAUGCACAGGUUCUGCCUCCAGAAGCCUUCAGUGCCAGCCUCUGAGCCAGAGGGUUCCAAGCAGAAGAGGUCCUCCAAGCCCCUCUCAGCUCUUACUUACGGCAUCCCAGAUGCCCUAUUCCUCUUCUGCAGAGAGAAGGUGGGUCAGCCACUAAAUGGUGCUGGGACCUUGCAGUUUGGUGGGAAGGAGGAAGCUUACUCAAGCAAGGAAGAUGAGACAGGCAGAAACCCACGCAUAAGUCAA